UCAGUAAUUUUCCAUUGACAUUUUCCCCUUCGAGUGACGUAUGAACUACGUACGUGUUGUCAAGUGUCAUGUCAAGUUUCACAAUGGUGAAGUUUUGAAUUUUAAGCUUUUUAGAGUCAAAUUUUAAGAUGUUGGAUGAUCAUAGAAAGUAAAACUCCUGGUAAGGCGCCCUAACAAAAUAUAGCCAGGAUUUAUAUUUAACACCCCAGGAUAUCUGUAAGUACCCUUGUUUAAAUUUUUGAUAGUAGUAAAUAUUCCCUAAUCCCUAACUUCUUCUUAACGAACUCACAACCUUAGCUCUCCAACCAAAACACGAGCCGCCGUAGCAAAGUAGUUUUUAGAAAUAUCCCCUAGUUUUCUCGACCCUUUUGUAUUUAAGCAGUAUCUAAAUUUUCCAAGCUUUUAUCUUCCCCCUUAUUUCUAAGUGUUACAAUAU
rnacentral:lncRNA from 1 species